CUUCUCUCUGUCAAAUUGCAGAGGAAUAUUUUCUAUGUUAAUAAAAGAGCACGAAGCACAUGCUUUUACAUAACUGAUGGCCUAGCACUUGGGACCACACAUACACUACAUUUCAUCCUAGACACACAUCUUUCUAAUCUCAUGGAUCACUCAACACAUGGCACUCAUGGCCUUUUUACAAAACUAGACAUUUACACUUUGCCUCAUUCUGCACAAGUGGAUACACCAAUUUAAAACAAACUUAUUCUAAAACUUUUCAGCUCAAAUACUUAUAGUUCAACACUCCCCUUUAAGUUUUGAGCUGAUUUCACACCAAGCAUAUCUCGAAGAUAGUUGAAUCGAUCCUUAGACAAAGCCUUAGUAAAUAUGUCUGCCACCUGCUCAUUUGUUGGACAGUACACCAAAUCGAUUAUCCCUUCCUGGAGUGCAUUCUUGAUAAAAUGAUACCUUCUGUCAAUGUGCUUGGUUUUCUGAUGGAAAACAGGAUUUUUAGUAAUUGCAAUUGCUGCUGUAUUAUCACAGUGUACUGGAGUCGCUUCAGUUUGCAUCUCACCAAAAUCUUCAAGAACAAAUCUAAGCCAAAUGGCUUGAGCAGUUGCUUCAGAGGCACUGAUGUACUCUGCUUCUGCUGUAGAGAGUGCUACACAAUUCUGCUUCAUUGAGGCCCACAAGAACACUCCACUACCAAAGGAAAAUGCAUAACCGGAAGUACUUUUGCUGUCAUCAACAAAUCCUCCCCAAUCACUAUCACAAAAACCGAUUAACAUUGCAUUCUUUCCUUUGACAUACUCCAGACCAUAGUCUAAUGUUCCCUUGAUGUAUCUAAGCACUUUUUUGGCAGUCCCAUAGUGUUUGUUUGUGGGAGAAUGCAUGAACCUGGAAAGUAGACUUGCUGCAUACAUUAUGUCUGGUCUUGUAGCUGUAAGAUACAGUAAACUGCCCACAAUUUUUCUAUACUGUUCUUCAUUUGCUGGACCACUUCCAUCAUCCUUACUAAGUUUUUCAGCUGGAAUCAAUGGUGUAAACACAGACUUGCAUUCAUUCAACCCAAAUUUAUUCAACAAGGAAGAGGCAUACUUCUUUUGGUGAAUAAAUAUGCUGAAAUUGGUUUGAAUGACUCCCAUUCCAAGAAAAUGGUGAAGUAAACCCAAAUCAGUCAUCUCAUAUUUCAUCAUCAUGUCCUCUUUGAAUUCUUCCAACAUUUCUAUGCUACUACCUGUGUAGACAAUAUCAUCUACAUAGAUAGACACAAUUAUAAUAUCUUUUUCUCCCCUUGACUUGAUGUACAAUGUUGGUUCACUGAGACUCUUUUGGAAACCACACUGGGAGAAGUAAGCAUCAAUUUCUCCAUACCAGGCUCUAGGUGCCUGUUUCAGUCCAUAAAGAGCUUUAUGAAGCCUAUACACUUUAUCUUCUUUGCCUUGCACUGUGAAUCCCUCUGGUUGGUCUACAUAUACUUCUUCCUGCAGUACUCCAUUUAGGAAGGCAGAUUUAACAUCAAGUUGAUACAACCUCCAGCUCUUUUGAGCAGCUAAUGCAAUGAGAGUUCUGAUAGUGUCCAGUCUAGCCACUGGAGCAUAAGUUUCAUUAUAGUCGAAACCAGGUUUCUGGGCAUAACCUUUGGCAACCAACCUUGCCUUGUUCUUCAAUACUGUGCCAUCCAGAUUCAAUUUGGUUUUAUAGACCCAUUUAACCCCAAUGACAGGCUGCAUUGUUGGUCUAUCUACUAAUUCCCAUGUACCAUUCUUUUCAAUCAUGGUCAACUCAUCCUGCAUUGCUCUUAACCAUGAUUCAUCUUGAGCUGCUUCUUCAUAUCUUUCAGGUUCCAUAACACACAGAUUGCAUUAAGCAAAAAUAUCAUCAAGAUUUCUCCAUUUCAGAGGUGUGUGAUCAUAAUCCUCUGAAAGCUUUGCAGAUUCAGGAGUACAACUUUCUUGUUCUUGUAUAUGAAAAGGAGAACUAGGACUGAGAGAACUUCCUUCAAUCACACUCAUCUCAUAUGGAUUCAUACCAACUACAUUUUCAGGUUGAUCCUGAAUGUAGGUUGCAGCAGCUGAACUUUGUGGAUUUUCUUUCCAAUUCCAGGUCAUAGAUUCAUCAAAGACUACAUCUCUUGACAGGAUUAAUUUGUUAGUACAUGGAUUAAAUAUUCUGUAUCCCUUCUCACAUGUAGCAUAACCAACAAAUACACCUUUAAUACUCUUAGCAUCUAGCUUCUGUCUUGUCUCAGUGGGUACAUGUACAUAGCACAGGGAACCAAAGAUCUUGAGAUGUGCUAUACCUGGUUUUCUGCCACUAUAAGCUUCAAAAGGAGUCAUAUUUCCAAGUGCCAUUGUAGGACACCUAUUUAGAAUAUAUACAGCUGUGUGUACUGCUUCAGCCCAAAGGACAUAUGGCAUACCUCUAUCAUGGAGCAUAGUUUUUGCCAUUUCAACCACAGUUCGAUUUUUCCUUUCCACUACUCCAUUCUGUUGAGGAGUAUAAGCCAUGGUGAGUUGCCUUUGAAUGCCUUCAGUUUCACAGAACUUAGUGAACUCAGAAGAUAAGAAUUCUCCACCUCUGUCACUCCUUAGACUUUUAACUUUGAAACCACUCUGCAGCUCCACCAUUGACUUGAACCUUUUAAAAUAAUUGAAUGCAUCAGAUUUGUAUCUGAGAAAAUACACCCAAAUCAUUCUUGUACAAUCAUCGAUGAGUAACAUGAAGUAUCUGUUUCCAGCCAAAGAUGCAUUCUGCAUAGGACCACACAAAUCAACAUGAAUAAGUUCCAGGGGACAGUUUGCUCUCCAAGAUUGAUUCUUUGGAAACCAGUCUCUUUGUUGCUUUCCAAAUUGACAUCCUUGACAUACAUCUUUGAUUUCUUCUAGGUAUGGAAGACCAUGCACCAUAUUUUUCUCACUGAGUUGCUUCAACCCCCUGAAGUUCAAAUGACCUAGUCUUCUGUGCCAAGUCCGAGUAGAGUGAUCUAUGCUUGCUUUCAGAACCAACCGGUUGUCUUGCAACAGAGAAAGAGGAUAGCAACGAUUUUCCUUCUUCUUGACCUUGAUGACAAGAUUGUCAAGUGAAGGUCCAUCAAACACACUACACAAACCUCCUCCAAACACUAGAUAAUAUCCAUGCUCAUCCAUUUGACCUACACUCAACAAAUUUUCCUUCAAUCCUGGCAAGUGCAUGACCUCUCUAAUGUACUUCUUCCCCUUAUUAGUAUCAAUUUCCAAUGAGCCCAUUCCAGCAACAUUUACUAACACUCCAGUAGGCAUCUGCACCUUUCCAACAACAUUUGUUCUUAUAUCAACAAGGAGAUCAGCAUUCCCUGUCAUGUGGUUACUACAACCACUGUCAAUUGUACCAAUUUCCAUUGACAUUUUUCUCUGAAAUUGCACUAUUAGCAUAGAACAGAUUCCCUGUCACUUCCACCUGAUUUGCAGAAUUUGCCUUUUGCAUAAUCUUCCCUAUAGUGCAUUCUCUAGCCCAAUGACCAAACUUAUCACAGUUAUAACAUUUGGGCUUCCCUUUAUAUCUACAUUCACCAAAAUGAAACUUAGAACACACUCUACACUGUGGUUUGGUACCCUCUUGACUCAUAACCUGUGAGGAAGCAUUAUUCUGUGCAACAUUUGUGAAUGAUUUUUGCUGAAACUUUGGUUUUGAAUCCCACUUCUUACCCUUUUGAUUCCAAUUUCUCUGUGGUUUAAAAUUACUAGACUGAGCAUAACUUCGAUUCUGCCCUUUUGAAUUAACAGUAAGAGAAGAAAAUGCUUUCUCAGUUGCAUCUGAGGAAUGCAAAUCAAACCUCUGCUCUUGACUCUUCAAUAUAGCUAGGACCUCUUGCAGUUCAACAGAUUCUAGACAUUUGGUGUUUUCUAUCACUAAGCAUAUAGGAUCAUAUAUCUUAGUGAGACUGAUUAACACCUUCUGAACUAAUCUCUCAUUUGACAAAGUUUCACCAAACGUUUUCAUUUGAUUAAUCAGAUCAUUCAAACGAGUAAGAUACCCAGUCAAGGAUUCAUCAUCACGCAUUCUAGUGUAUUCAAAUUCUCGUCUGAGAUUUUGGAGUUUCACAGAUCUUACCUGAUCCCCACCGUGAUAUUCACCAUGUAACAGAUCCCAUGCCAUUUUUGCUGAGUCUGCGUUUGCGAUUCGAGGGAAGAUCUGGUCGGAGACUGCGCUUGAAUGAUUCCGAGAGCUUUUGCAUCUUUCAUGAAGAUUGCAGCCAUUUUCUCAUCAUCGUCAGCAUCAACAUCUGUAUCUUCAUCAGUCUUAGCUUUCUUCUUCUUCGAAUCGAGAACCGAAAUCCCUUUUUCCACCAGAUUCCAUAGUCCAUGUGACUUGAAAAUGGUAACCAUUUUGAUUCUCCAGAACUCGUAGUUCUCACCGGAGAAGAUCGGGGUCCUCACUUCAGCACCUCCAGAUCCAGCCAUUUUUCAAAUCUUUCGUGAGCUUCGAUUGAGCUCAGUAACCUCACAGAUUUACGCCCGGAUUUUUAAACGACGCAACCUGGCUCUGAGGCCAUGUUAAUGUGUCUGAAUUCUAGAGAUUUGAACUGAAGAAGGAAAGUUGAACAAAGAGCAAAAACAAACCGAAGAACACAAUGGAAGAUGAAUAGUUCUCUUCUUCUCUCUGUCAAAUUGCAGAGGAAUAUUUUCUAUGUUAAUAAAAGCACGAAGCACAUGCUUUUACAUAACUGAUGGCCUAGCACUUGGGACCACACAUACUACAUUUCAUCCUAGACACACAUCUUUCUAAUCUCAUGGAUCACUCAACACAUGGCACUCAUGGCCUUUUUACAAAACUAGACAUUUACACUUUGCCUCAUUCUGCACAAGUGGAUAC
rnacentral:lncRNA from 1 species